GUGCUAGCUCCUCCUCCAGUGGUCCUUUUCCUUCUUCUAGCCCCACUUCCCUUGAUCUCCCUGAGUCAGUGGGGUUAUCUUUUUGUUUCUAUCUAAGAAUAAGAAAAGAAGGCUCUUUUACAAAGUGUUAAGGUUAGAAAAGAAGCUUUAGGUGGAACCCACCAAAAUGUCUCAUCAAGACGUCUUAGGGCAUUCCCAUGUCCCUGUGGAGGAGAAAGAUGCAGCAGGGAACCAAGGCCAGCAGGGUGCUAGAUCACGGCAAACUAGAUUUCGGAGAAGAAAAUGUAAGCAGCUGCAUUCAGCACGGCCAGGGGCAGAAGAAACUAGAGUUUUGCAAGUUUACAGAUUUAUGAGUCGUCCCCCAUCUACCAGCGUGCACUCCACUGGUGAAGAAGCUCUGGGGCUGUCUAGUAUUCCUGUGCCAAGAAACAGUGGAAAGACUGUGAAAACACUAGCUAGGAUUGUCAGCCCUUGGGUGCGUCUUGAACCUAUACCAUGUUGGGUCAAGGACUGUACUGGGCUGGCCUGCUCAGCAGAUCAUGGUCCUACAAGACAUCUGCUAAAAGCCGAUCUCCUAGCUGAAGAAGAUAGCCCGAGAUCCAUGGUAAGAGAGGAACUUUUCUCAAGGGGUGAAGACUAUGAUGAUUUGGGGGCAGCCAGCAACCAGACAGAUGUUGUCAGCAGUGAUGCUCCCAGAAGCUUGGCAGAAGAAUUUUCACUAGUUCCCUUAAAUAUGCGAAGGAAAUACUCUGCUUUGGAUUUUGACCUGCUAGUAGAAAGAUGUUUUAAAAGGCUCUGAGCUUCAGCACAUCUGUUUAGAAUUUAAGAUACAAAUUUUUUGGAGAUAUGAAUGCCAGUCUUCAUGUACACAGUUUAUAGAAAUACAGGCUGAAGUCUGCGUUAAACCUAUGAAGGUUCAAAUGGGGUGAAGCCCAGCACAUUUCUCUUAGAUUGGCAGGCAGUGAGGAAAGACAAAGCUGGAGUGAAAAUAAAUCUUUUAUAUGAGUUGCCUUCUUUGGGAGU
rnacentral:lncRNA from 1 species